UACCAGCUCUCCGAGUGGUAGGGAUGAUUAUUGGGCUUAAAGCGUCCGUAGCCGGCUUAGCAAGUCUCCUGUUAAAUUCAGCGACCCAAUCGUUGAGCCGCUGGAGAUACUACUAGGCUAGGAGGCGGGAGAGGUCGAUGGUACUUCUGGGGUAGGGGUGAAAUCCUAUAAUCCCGGGAGGACCACCAGUGGCGAAGGCUGUCGACUAGAACGCGCUCGACGGUGAGGGACGAAAGCUGGGGGAGCGAACCGGAUUAGAUACCCGGGUAGUCCCAGCUGUAAACGAUGCGGGCUAGGUGUUGGGGUGGCUACGUGCCACUUCAGUGCCGCAGGGAAGCCAUUAAGCCCGCCGCCUGGGGAGUACGGCCGCAAGGCUGAAACUUAAGGAAUUGGCGGGGAGCACCACAAGGCGUGAAGCUUGCGGUUC
rnacentral:rRNA from 1 species